GAAGAGAAGAGAAGAGAAGAGAAGAGAAGAGAAGAGAAGAGAAGAGAAGAGAAGAGAAGAGAAGAGAAGAGAAGAGAAGAGAAGAGAAGAGAAGAGAAGAGAAGAGAAGAGAAGAGAAAAAAGAGAAAAGUCAGAGUCCCCCACCAGAGCACUGAGGACUGUGGUUCAGUGCUGACUUGGAAGGCCAUCUGCUUCCAUAGCACACUGGAGAUGAUGGCCAUGAUUUUCAGAUUCUCAAGACACUGGGACACAGUCUGGCUGUAACAGGUGCUAUUCUAUCCUACAGAAAGUUGGAAAAUCAUCUUUCUUUCUAAACCGGUUUGAGAUGCAGUCUUCCAAACAGCCCGGUGUACAUUCACAAGUGAAGCUCCAAAGGAAACAACUACCUGUGCUUUCAAUGCACUUCUCUGCCCAGAUUCUUCAAAGGGACAAGCUCAGCCUGUCUUCAUGGCCCAGUUACAAGGAGUGUAACUGAUGUUUGUGUUGUGAAUAGGAUAUGAUUUGCAGGGAGCAAAAAUUGCUCCCUCCCUCAUGCACGUCCUCACCAGCUGUAAGAACCACGGAGCAGUUCAAAGAAGACCUUGCAGAAUCCGACCAAAACCACCCUGGUGCUUACAAAGGCUCUGACACCAACCCUGGUCCCUCCAGACUGACAGCCAGGGGAUGUUUCUCAGCAGAGACAUUUUAGAUGUACUUGGAGAGCACUGGCAUGGACCCAGAACAACUCUUCUUACAAGCCCUUGGCACCUGACCUCUGAUCCAAGGGCAGCAGCGACUGUGGCAUGCUGGAAAGGAAAAUGCCCAGGAGUCAGUGGGUGCAUGUGGGUGACACGUAGGAACACAGGUCAAGUGGCCAGUGCAGACAAGCACUCCCUCUUCUUGAUCAACCUCUCUGCUUAAAAUAUACUUUGAAUGGGAAGAGAACUUCAUCUGCAGCAGAGACAAAUGUCAACAGCUGAGAGGUGCUCAACUGACUUUGAAGAAGUCAAGCAUCUUGGCUCUGAGGAAAGCAAACAUCUCCUAAGUUUCUUAUGACGCCCAGAAGAAGGGAAAAAAGUCUUACUUCCUUGAUGAAAUGAAAAUAUUACUGGGAUCGAUCUCCUGGAGCUGUGGAUGGAUAAAAAUGCAGCACCACAGGUUAUAAAAAUUAUUUUGAAACCUGCCUUAUUAGUCCAGCUUCUUCUCUGGACUAGACACCGAUCUGGUCUUGACAUCUCCUGGUUCAAAUUCUUAUAAACACCUUAUUUUCC
rnacentral:lncRNA from 1 species